AGUGAACGCUGGCGGUAGGCCUAACACAUGCAAAUCGAACGGCAGCACAGUAAGAGCUUGCUCUUACGGGUGGCGAGUGGCGGACGGGUGAGGAAUACAUCGGAAUCUACUUUUUCGUGGGGGAUAACGUAGGGAAACUUACGCUAAUACCGCAUACGACCUACGGGUGAAAGCAGGGGAUCUUCGGACCUUGCGCGAUUGAAUGAGCCGAUGUCGGAUUAGCUAGUUGGCGGGGUAAAGGCCCACCAAGGCGACGAUCCGUAGCUGGUCUGAGAGGAUGAUCAGCGGCACUGGAACUGGGACACGGUCAAGACUCCUACGGGAGGCAGCAGUGGGGAAUAUUGGACAAUGGGCGCAAGCCUGAUCCAGCGAUACCGCGUGGGUGAAGAAGGCCUUCGGGUUGUAAAGACCUUUUGUUGGGAAAGAAAAGCAGCAGGUUAAGACCACGCUGGUCUGACGGUACCCAAAGAAUAAGCACCGGCUAACUUCGUG
rnacentral:rRNA from 1 species